rnacentral:rRNA from 1 species
CACAAGUUGUGCAUGCUAAAUUUAUUUAAUUUAAUUAAAUGUAUAAUAUUUUAAGUUAUUAAAAAAUUUAUUAGGUGGAAUUUUAAUUUUUUUAUAAUUUAAUUCAGUGUUUUUGAAGUUAGGAAAUUUCAGUAUAGACUA